ACUCGCAAGGGAGCUUCUGCAAGAGGCUGAGAGGAGGUUUUUAAACCUCGACCUUACCUGAUUUGGAUAAUGCCAACGUAGGGAUGCGAA
rnacentral:ncRNA from 1 species